rnacentral:rRNA from 1 species
GACGAACGCUGGCGGCGUGCCUAAUACAUGCAAGUCGAACGCAGUGGGGACGGGUGAGUAACACGUGGGUAACCUCCCAUCAGAGGGGAUAACACUUGGAAACAGGUGCUAAACCGAUACUGAUGGAUGGACCCGCGGGUCAUUAGCUAGUUGGUGAGGUAACGGCUCACGAAGGCCACGAUGCAUAGACGACCUGAGAGGGUGAUGGGCAACACUGGGACUGAGACGCGGCCCAGACUCGUACGGGAGGCAGCAGUAGGGAAUCGGGGGCAAGGGACGAAAGUCUGACCGAGCAACGCCGCGGGAGUGAAGAAGGUUUUCGGAUCGUAAAACUCUGUUGUUAGAGAAGCGGUAUCUAACCAGAAAGCCACGGCUAACGACGUGCCAGCAGCCGCGGUAAUUC